GACGAACGCUGGCGGCGUGCCUAAUACAUGCAAGUAGGACGCAGUUGCGAACGGGUGAGUAACGCGUAGGUAACUGCCUAUUAGAGGGGGAUAACUAUUGGAAACGAUAGCUAAUACCGCAUACUAGUAGAUGGACCUGCGUUGUAUUAGCUAGUAGGUAGGGUAAUGGCCUACCUGGGCGACGAUACAUAGCCGACCCGGUGGGGAGAGCGGCCAAACUGGGACUGGUACACGGCCCAGACUCCUACGGGAGGCAGCAGGAGGGAAGCUUUGGCAAUGGGGGGAAACCUGACCGAGCAACGCCGCGGGAGUGAAGAAGGUUUUCGGAUCUUAAAGCUCUGUUGAGUAGGAAGCGGUACUUAACCAGAAAGGGACGGCUAACUACGUGCCAGCAGCCGCGGUAAUAC
rnacentral:rRNA from 1 species